rnacentral:rRNA from 1 species
GUGGCAUCGCGGGUGCUUACCAUGCAAGUCGAACGGUGAAGCCCAGCUUGCUGGGUGGAUCAGUGGCGAACGGGUGAGUAACCCGUGAGCAACCUGCCCCUGACUCUGGGAUAAGCGCUGGAAACGGCGUCUAAUACUGGAUAUGUGACGUGACCGCAUGGUCUGCGUCUGGAAAGAAUUUCGGUUGGGGAUGGGCUCGCGGCCUAUCAGCUUGUUGGUGAGGUAAUGGCUCACCAAGGCGUCGACGGGUAGCCGGCCUGAGAGGGUGACCGGCCACACUGGGACUGAGACACGGCCCAGACUCCUACGGGAGGCAGCAGUGGGGAAUAUUGCACAAUGGGCGCAAGCCUGAUGCAGCAACGCCGCGUGAGGGACGACGGCCUUCGGGUUGUAAACCUCUUUUAGCAGGGAAGAAGCGAAAGUGACGGUACCUGCAGAAAAAGCGCCGGCUAACUACGUGCCAGCAGCCGCGGUAAUACGUAGGGCGCAAGCGUUAUCCGGAAUUAUUGGGCGUAAAGAGCUCGUAGGCGGUUUGUCGCGUCUGCUGUGAAAUCCGGAGGCUCAACCUCCGGCCUGCAGUGGGUACGGGCAGACUAGAGUGCGGUAGGGGAGAUUGGAAUUCCUGGUGUAGCGGUGGAAUGCGCAGAUAUCAGGAGGAACACCGAUGGCGAAGGCAGAUCUCUGGGCCGUAACUGACGCUGAGGAGCGAAAGGGGUGGGGGAGCAAAACAGGCUUAGAUACCCUGGUAGUCCACCCCGUAAAACGUUGGGAACUAGUUGUGGGGGUCCAUUCCACGGGAUUCCGUGACGCAACUAACGCAUUAAGUUCCUCCGCCCGGGGGGAGUCGGCUCGCAAGGCUAAACUCAAAGGAAUUUGACGUGGGACCC